rnacentral:rRNA from 1 species
UACAGAGGGGGCAAGCGUUGUUCGGAAUUACUGGGCGUAAAGGGCGCGUAGGCGGCCUUCUAAGUCGAACGUGAAAUCCCCCGGGCUCAACCCGGGAACUGCGUCCGAUACUGGAAGGCUUGAAUCCGGGAGAGGGAUGUGGAAUUCCAGGUGUAGCGGUGAAAUGCGUAGAUAUCUGGAGGAACACCGGUGGCGAAGGCGACAUCCUGGACCGGUAUUGACGCUGAGGCGCGAAAGCCAGGGGAGCAAAGCGGGG